rnacentral:rRNA from 1 species
GACGAACGCUGGCGGCGUGCUUUACACAUGCAAGUCGAACGAUGAUGCCCAGCUUGCUGGGUGGAUUAGUGGCGAACGGGUGAGUAACACGUGAGUAACCUGCCCCUGACUCUGGGAUAAGCCUGGGAAACUGGGUCUAAUACUGGAUACGACAUUCUCCUGCAUGGGAUGGGUGUGGAAAGGGUUUCUGGUUGGGGAUGGGCUCGCGGCCUAUCAGCUUGUUGGUGGGGUGAUGGCCUACCAAGGCUUUGACGGGUAGCCGGCCUGAGAGGGUGGCCGGCCACAAUGGGACUGAGACACGGCCCAGACUCCUACGGGAGGCAGCAGUGGGGAAUAUUGCACACUGGGCGGAAGCCUGAUGCAGCGACGCCGCGUGAGGGAUGACGGCCUUCGGGUUGUAAACCUCUUUCAGUAGGGAAGAAGCCUUUCGGGGUGACGGUACCUGCAGAAGAAGCGCCGGCUAACUACGUGCCAGCAGCCGCAGUAA